rnacentral:lncRNA from 1 species
CACCGCCAGCCCUGGUUGUGCUUGGCUUCCAGAGAGCUGGGUGGGGAUACAGGGUGAGGAUGGGCCCAGCCAGCUCCGCAGUCAUCCUUACGAGAUCUGGGGGAGACGGCGUAUAUACCCACCCAAGUGAUGGGCCUGAAGACGACGAGAAGCAAAUGGUCCAAGGAGCAAGGCUGGAGCAGCAGGCACAAAGGGGCCAGUAAAGCUGAUGAGAGUGUCAGCCCGGGGCUCAGAGCGGAGGCAAAGGCAAGAACCUCAUCAUCCUGUAACAGAGGAUUCAGAGGGAGCAAGAAGAAACAAGAGUGACCACAUUGGGGGGUCCGGAAACAUCACCUAGAGGAGGCCACAGUGGACGGAGCCUGGAAGGCCACUGCAGGUGAGACUGCAGCUGGUGCCCUGGGCACACGGGGUCCACUUGGGGACCUUUGAAAAACUCCAGCGCCCAUACUGCACCUGAGACCAAUCAUUUCUGAGUCUUGGGGGUGCUGAUUGUGUCCCCCAGUCUAAGUGCCAUGGAAGUGAGCCUUGAGAGGUUAUGAGGUUUAGAUCAGGUCAUGGGUGGGGCCCUAAGGGUGGAUCAAUGCCCCCAUCCAAAGAGGAAGCAACAGAGAUCUCUGAAUAUGUGCUCAUGUGGCACCAGGAAGAGGGGCUCUCCCUGUGAACCUCACCGUGCUGGCUCUGCAUUCUCAGACUUCCAGCCCCCAUAUCCAGGAGAAAUAAAUGCAGAAUGAUUAAGGCACUCAGUCUGUGGUAGUGUUGUCAUGGCAUGAACUAAAACAGACAGUAGGAGGAGAGGAGGCAACUGAAGAGUUUGAAGCUCCCAAGUUUCAGUGUGCAGGCAGGUUUGAGAACCACUAGGCCAAGGCUUGGCGGGAAAUACACAUGGCAGGAAUGUGGAGGGCAGGAGUCAGGGGCAAUAAAUGAAGGUCAGCAGGUCACAGUGGGCCAUUUUCUGCUCUGACCACCUCCUUGUCUGCAUUGGAACAGAAG